AUGCAUCAACUUUUAAAUAAUUCCAGCAAAUCAGUUAUUUUCAACCAACUGCAAACAAGAGAGAUGAGUCAUCAUCUGGAGCACAUGGAUUAUGGGAGGAUUCCAAAUACCCUUCCCCAGUGCAUAUUCAAAACAUCCCAAGGUGUUAGACACCCUCUCAAAGGUGGGACAGAAUAAUAAUGAUGGCUUCAGUACAAUGUUAUAUAUGCUACGAGAGUGGCACAUAUACAGACGACUCUGGAGCUAAGAACAAGGACAUCUACACGCUAAGUUUCAGGUAUUGUACUGAGUCUUGAGGAUGAGUUGCAUUUAUCCAUUCCACAU
rnacentral:lncRNA from 1 species